rnacentral:lncRNA from 1 species
GAUGAUGGCAAGCGGUUAAAUGGAGAAAAGUAAUUUGAGCUCUUGCCUUCAAGCGGGAGAAAGACCAAAGAAAAACCAAACGAUGAAUUUACAGAAAUGUCUGUUACUCAACCAUGGAAGGUGGUGAAGUGCAACAAAGGAGUCCUGGAGAUUUUUGACAAAGGAAGCAACGUGACAGAUGUGUCCCGAAAGUAUGGUGUGGACUGAAACACGAUUAUGCAGAGUGCAGCUAUUGCUGAACUGGCCAUUGCAGCUCUUAUUUUAUGCAGAACUAUACAGAAAUUCAAAAUAAACAGGGAGAGAAAUUAUUAAGCAUUUACACAAAAUUGUCAAGAUGAUAUUAUGGCAGAUGAGAGCAUUGCCCACAAAAUACAACCCAUGAAAAAUGAGGGGAAGUUGCUUUUAAUAAAAAAAUUAUUGAUUGUUGUAAAGAAAAAAAAAGGUUUUAUAUGUAUAUGUAUAUACACUUUUUAUACUUUAUUUUUUUAUUGUUUAAUUGUUAUGUUACUUAUUUGUUUCUUUUUUAUAUAUUAUUGCACAGUAAUGUACAUUAAUAAAGAUUUUGAAAGUCUAAG